AUUGAACGCUGGCGGCAGGCCUAACACAUGCAAGUCGAGCGGAUGACGGGAGCUUGCUCCUUGAUUCAGCGGCGGACGGGUGAGUAAUGCCUUGGAAUCUGCCUGGUAGUGGGGGACAACGUUUCGAAAGGAACGCUAAUACCGCAUACGUCCUACGGGAGAAAGCAGGGGACCUUCGGGCCUUGCGCUAUCAGAUGAGCCUAGGUCGGAUUAGCUAGUUGGUGGGGUAAUGGCUCACCAAGGCGACGAUCCGUAACUGGUCUGAGAGGAUGAGCAGUCACACUGGAACUGAGAAACGGUCCAGACCCCUACGGGAGGCAGCAGUGGGGAAUAUUGGACAAUGGGCGAAAGCCUGAUCCAGCCAUGCCGCGUGUGUGAAGAAGGUCUUCAGAUUGUAAAGCACUUUAAGUUGGGAGGAAGGGCAGUAAGCUAAUAUCUUGCUGUUUUGACGUUACCGACAGAAUAAGCACCGGCUAACUCUGUGCCAGCCGCCGCGGUAA
rnacentral:rRNA from 1 species